rnacentral:rRNA from 1 species
UUCCCAGACUCCUACGGGCGGCCGCAGUGGUGCCUUUUGGACACUGGUCGCAAGCCUGCUCCCGCUAUUCCGCGUGUGGGAUGACGGCCCUCGGGUUGUACCCCCCUUUAGUAGCGCCCGCAAAGGAGCUCUCGCAUAAAUAGCUCUGCUGACGGUCCUCUCCGAAUAAGCACCGGCUAACUACGUGCCCGCAGCCGCGGUCCUCCGUAGGGUGCGAGCGUUAAUCGGAAUUCCGGGGCGUAAAGGGGGUGCAGGCGGCUGAGGAAGACAGAUGUGAAAGCCCCGGGCUGAACCGGGGAACCGCAUAGGGGACGGCGGGGCUAGAGGGCGGCAGAGGGAGGGGGAAUUCCACGGGGAGCAGUGAAAGGCGGAGAUAUGUGGAAGAACACCGAUGGCGAAGGCAGCCUCCGGGGACGCAACUGACGCGCAUACACGACAGCGGGGGGAGCAAACAGGAGGAGAGACCCCGGUA